rnacentral:lncRNA from 1 species
UAAACGAAGCCACCUUAUCUGACCCUUUAGCUUUCUGGAUCAUAUAGAGUCACUCAAUAACAACCCACCAUCAAGAGGCAAAUUGGUGUCAAGGCCCCCUUAACCCAUGAAUCAUGGAAGGGUGGAACUACUUAUAUAUUUUUGAAUAUAUUAUAAAAAGAUAUUUAAAAAUAUAUUUAAAAAUACAUAAAUUUAUAAGCUAUAGAAUCACUGAUCCCGUCUCUUAGAAUUAAAAAAGAUGAGUUAUUGAAUAAAUGGUCAAAAAACUAUGAAAAAGAUAAACUAUCUAUUUAAUAUAAAUCUAAAAACUGAAUAGGCGUGGUCCUUAAAUGAUUGAACAUAGACUUGGUUUGAGCUGAGCAUUUCUAACUUGCUUGUAAUUCAAGGUAGGCUUGAAUUAGAACCUAUGAGGUUAUAUGAACUCAACU